CCAGCAUUUUAAUAAUACAGAAACUAAAACUAUGUUAUUUUAUUGCCAAAAUACGAAUAAAACAGUAUAGUACCCUAUAAAUAUGCAUAUAACAGUAGUAUCAGAUAUCAGUAAAAGUGUAUGUAUAUAAAGUGUUUUGAUAAUGUUGAAUAUGUAUGUAGGCUACUGUUUUUACAGAGAUUUUUUUGAGAGGUGACAGUUUCUAUAUUAGCUCUGGCGAUUUUAAAUUAUUAAUAACAAAUAGGCAAUCAAAAACUUUUUAAACUAUAAAGGAAGUGGCAGUCUGGGAAAAUAUGCCCAAUAAUGAAACAUUCUAUUAUGUUUCAGAUAUUUUAAUUAUAAUGCUCAUUUUCAAAUCCCAACCAAUGGUAUCCAUUUUAAUGGGAAGCCAAAUUCGUAAUAACAUCAGGCGAUAGUUUUCUGUACUGUCACGUAUGUGACACAUAUGCAGCAAUCAAAUUUUUAAAGCCAAACCAUUAUUGCCAAAACAUUUUAUUAAAGUAUAAACAUCAUGCUGUAUUGCAAAAUUGUUACAGUGACUAAUAAGUUUUUUGUAAUAAUAAAAACAACUUUUAUCUUGCUUAAUUUAUUGGAAGAUCCAGGAAAGUGAGCAAACCACUCAAAAAUUCUUGCCUAACCAAAUGAAAGGUAUUUUUCAUGACUAGCUUCUGGACCAAGCGACAUCUGUUUAGAUCACUUUGUUCAUCAGCAUCUGCAGCAAAAUCAAAGAGGAAUAUGUGUAAUUUUUGUUCAUAAUGUUGUUUCUUUUGUAUCUACAGCACCAAACUUCAGUCAGGGUAUCCUGACUAUCCUCACACUCAGUUUUGUUUGUUCUUUACUUCUCUAUAUGACAUUUUCAUAACAUUAUUAUUUAUUAACACUAGUUACUGGUUGUCACGCUGUCAAUAAACUGCAUAAAUAAAUCUUGUUAGAUACCCUUGCAGGACAAUG